CACUCAGACACGUCUCCAUUUUGAAAGUCCUGAUGUUCUGACUAAUGAAUUCAGCCUACUAGAAUUCAAAAAAGGGAGAGAAAGAAGGAGAAAAUGAGUCCUGGUCACUCUCACUCUAACCAUUAGUCCCUCACUGAAUUGUAUGACGCCAAGGAAGAGUCACCUUCCCAGAAAGGAGGGGGCUUGGAAGGAGGCACAGAGCAGAAACCAGGAGGCUCAUGGGUAGGAGCUGCAUCUCCAGGCUAAGUUGAACUGCACUCCCACCCAUCACUCAGCACCAGGAUGAAAGGGGCAUAAAACCAACACAGUGCCCGUGACUGUAUGAAAAUAUAUGUCCUGAUGUGUCGGGAAUACCUGGCGCGCCUUUAACCUCAACUUCAGAUGAACCAACACGCCUCGGAGCACAUUUAUAUGCAAAGGCGUAUAAUAUGUCCCCUGUAUCUAAUUAUCUGUCAACCUGAGGCAGUUUGUUUUCCAAAUCGGCCUCUCGGCUGUGACUUUACGAGGUCAUAAAGAAAACGAUGCCACUCUGCACUGAAACGCAAGGAGAGCCCAGAUCAACAAAUUAUCCUCCUUAAUGGUGUCUCUCGGCCUACAGAAUUGCCCUGUCCCUCCCUGCUGUCUGCUGGGGAGCAGAGAGAGGGGUGCAGGUAGCACAAUGCAACUGAAGAGGUCCCGGAGCACCAAGGUACAGGUAACUGAACCCUGUAGAUUGCAAAACCACGGGCAAAGAAGAUAACACUGUGUAAAGCAAAAAAUGAACAACAUCAUCAUGGAAAAGUACUGUGGUAAAGACUUGCCAUCAAUAAUUGCAACACUAUUCAUAAUAGUCAAGACAUAGAAUCAGCCUAAAUGACUAUCAAUCAAUGAAUGGAUAAAGAAAAUUUAUAUAUAUAGUCCCCAACUUACAAACAAGAUUCAUUCCAGGAGAAUGCUGGUGAAUAAGAUUCCUGUGUAAGUCUAACUACACCUUCAACAUAAAUAUAUGCAAUGUAAAGCAAAAAUGCAUACACAUUCACAAAAAUGCUGUAAAUAAACUAUUUUAC
rnacentral:lncRNA from 1 species